GUUUUAAGAAUACUAAAAAAUGAUAGGACAGCACAGAGAUGAUUAACAUGGCCCCUACCUGAUGAUGACACACAAGUUCACGAAGCAUUUCACAUUUUU
rnacentral:snRNA from 1 species